UACAGAGACUGCAAGCGUUAUUCGGAUUCACUGGGCGUAAAGGGUGCGCAGGCGGCCAAGUGUGUUAGGCGUGAAAGCCCGGGGCUUAACCUCGGAAUUGCACCUAAAACUACAUGGCUAGAGCAUUGGAGAGGGUAGCGGAAUUCACGGUGUAGCAGUGAAAUGCGUAGAUAUCGUGAGGAACACCAGAGGCGAAGGCGGCUACCUGGACAAUUGCUGACGCUCAGGCACGAAAGCGUGGGGAGCAAAAGGG
rnacentral:rRNA from 1 species